CUCGUAGGCGGUUCGUCGCGUCCGGUGUGAAAGUCCGUCGCCUAACGGUGGAUCUGCGCCGGGUACAGGCGGGCUGGAGUGCGGUAGGGGAGACUGGAAUUCCCGGUGUAACGGUGGAAUGUGUAGAUAUCGGGAAGAACACCAAUGGCGAAGGCAGGUCUCUGGGCCGUUACUGACGCUGAGGAGCGAAAGCGUGGGGAGCGAACA
rnacentral:rRNA from 1 species